AAAACACAGCAAUGUCCAUAAUGGAUUGUAAAAUCUGUAGUCUGCUAAAAUUUUUUGCAAUCUCUCACAGGUUCAACACCUUCAUCCAGGUUUGAAUCAGCACAUCAUCUCAUACAUGGAAUCACAGAAUACCCUGAUUUGGAAGGUGCCCACAAGGAUCAUCAAGCUGAAAUCCUGGCCCUACACAGGACAUCCCUAAGAAUCACACCAUCUGUCACCAUGUACAUCAUCAACCCCUGCACUGAAAGGACUUUUGAACCUCAGAUAAGAUGCUUCCAACUUGAAACAGAACAGUCCAGAACUGAUUUGCACAGAACUUUUGAUUGUGCUUGUGAAAGUGUUGUCACAGGUGGCAAAGACAGAUGAGAGUGUGGAGCCAUCAUUCACACCAGCAUCA
rnacentral:lncRNA from 1 species